AUCAUGUUGAAACACCGGUUCCCGCACGACCACCGAAGUUAAGUAACGUCCAGCCAUGGUCAGUACCUACAUGGGUUACCGCUUGGGAACACCAGAUGCUGUAAG